rnacentral:rRNA from 1 species
UACUAGAGUAGCACUCGCAUAUCAAUAAGCGGAGGAAAAGAAACUAACAAGGAUUCCCCUAGUAACGGCGAGUGAAGCGGGAAGAGCUCAAAUUUGAAAUCUUAAAGGGUUUCCCUUUACGAAUUGUAGUUUAAAGAAGUGUUUUCUGUUGAGGUUUUGGUAAAAGUUCUUUGGAAUAGGACAUCAUAGAGGGUGAGAAUCCCGUAUUCGACCUUUACUUUCAACUUUGUGAUACACUUUCAAAGAGUCGGAUUGUUUGGGAAUGCAGUCCAAAAUGGGUGGUAAAUUUCAUCUAAAGCUAAAUAUUGGCGAGAGACCGAUAGCGAACAAGUACCGUGAGGGAAAGAUGAAAAGAACUUUGAAAAGAGAGUUAAACAGUACGUGAAAUUGUCAAAAGGGAAGCGUUUGACACCAGUGUUGUUUUUCUGAAAAUCAAUUAAAGAACUGUUUAUGCUAAGCUGUUUAGACUUUAUCAGCUAAUCUGUUUAGUUUUGAGCUUUUCUUUAAUGCACUUUUCAGUUAACAAGUCAACAUCAAUUUCUUUUGCUGUAAAAAAGCUUGAGGAAGGUGGCUUGAGAUUCGUCUUAAGUGUUUAUAGCCUCUUGCCUAUGCAGUCGGAGAGAUUGAGGUCUGCAGCGUAGAUCCUUCGGGGCUAAAUGCAUUUGUGCUAAGUUAUAGCAUUUUAUAGACAACUUGUUGACUAUGAUUUGUCUUGUAGCUUACUCGCUUAUGUUAUUUUACCUACGCUUAGGAUGUUGAGCGCAUGUCUCUCUCU